GAACGCACAUUGCGCCUUUCGGUAUUCCGGAAGGCAUGCCUGUUCGAGCGUCAUAUAAACACCUCAAGCAUGAAUUUAUUCAAACUUGGUAUUGGUCAAGGAUUGAGCUUGCCUUCUUCCUGUCCGAAAUGCAAUGGCGAAGUUCUGUCUUCCAUUCAGUGUAGUAAUCAACGUUAUGUUUCACUUCUGGACAUGAGAGGCUUCUGCUACAAUUAAAUUCCCCAAUUCUAAAGUUUGACCUCGGAUCAGGUAGGGAUACCCGCUGAACUUAAG
rnacentral:misc_RNA from 1 species